GGCCGGUUAGCUCAGUUGGUUGAGCUUGGUGUUGAUAACACCAAGGUUGUGGGUUCCAUCCCUGUUCAGUCCC
rnacentral:tRNA from 1 species